rnacentral:rRNA from 1 species
UACGGGGGGAGCAAGCGUUGUUCGGAUUUACUGGGCGUAAAGGGCGCGUAGGCGGCGCAACAAGUCACUUGUGAAAUCUCCGGGCUUAACCCGGAGCGGCCAAGUGAUACUGUCGUGCUAGAGUGCGGAAGGGGCUACUGGAAUUCUCGGUGUAGCGGUGAAAUGCGUAGAUAUCGAGAGGAACACCUGCGGCGAAGGCGGGUUGCUGGGCCGACACUGACGCUGAAGUGCGAAAGCUAGGGGAGCGAACGGG